rnacentral:lncRNA from 1 species
CAAGGUAUUUUGCUGUACCUGAUUUUCAUUGAACGGGGACGGAUGCCGGUUGAUGUCGACGCUAACCGCGAGGAAAAAGGAGGGGGCUGACUGCCCUGCUCCGCGGGACUUCAGGAAGAGGGCGCUGUUCUACCGCUUGUCGAAGGCUCGGAGAGAUGGGAGAGUACCCCUCACCGGAGCCGUACAGUGCCCACGACUUCUUCCGGAGCCGAGGUGAACCCCGGGUUCAACCCCAAGGAAGAAGAGGCGGAG